UAAGGAAUAUUGGUCAAUGGAGGCAACUCUGAACCAGCCAUGCCGCGUGCAGGAAGACGGCCCUAUGGGUUGUAAACUGCUUUUGUACCAGAGAAAACCCUUCUACGUGUAGGAGGUUGAUAGUAUGGUAAGAAUAAGCAUCGGCUAACUUCGUGCCAGCAGCCGCGGUAAGACGAAGGAUGCAAGCGUUAUCCGGAUUCAUUGGGUUUAAAGGGUGCGUAGGCGGACCUGUAAGUCAGUGGUGAAAUCUCUCAGCUUAACUGAGAAACUGCCAUUGAUACUGCAAGUCUAGAGUAUAGAUGACGUUGGCGGAAUAUGACAUGUAGUGGUGAAAUACUUAGAUAUGUCAUAGAACACCGAUUGCGAAGGCAGCUAACGAAACUAUAACUGACGCUGAGGCACGAAAGUGCGGGGAUCAAACAG
rnacentral:rRNA from 1 species